rnacentral:piRNA from 1 species
GUUGGAGUUAUUUUAAGUCCUA